AUUGAACGCUGGCGGCAGGCUUAACACAUGCAAGUCGAGCGGGGGAGGUUGCUUCGGUAACUGACCUAGCGGCGGACGGGUGAGUAAUGCUUAGGAAUCUGCCUAUUAGUGGGGGACAACAUUCCGAAAGGAAUGCUAAUACCGCAUACGCCCUACGGGGGAAAGCAGGGGAUCUUCGGACCUUGCGCUAAUAGAUGAGCCUAAGUCGGAUUAGCUAGUUGGUGGGGUAAAGGCCUACCAAGGCGACGAUCUGUAGCGGGUCUGAGAGGAUGAUCCGCCACACUGGGACUGAGACACGGCCCAGACUCCUACGGGAGGCAGCAGUGGGGAAUAUUGGACAAUGGGCGGAAGCCUGAUCCAGCCAUGCCGCGUGUGUGAAGAAGGCCUCUUGGUUGUAAAGCACUUUAAGCGAGGAGGAGGCUCUUAAGGUUAAUACCCUUGAUGAGUGGACGUUACUCGCAGAAUAAGCACCGGCUAACUCUGUGCCAGCCGCCGCAGUAA
rnacentral:rRNA from 1 species